rnacentral:rRNA from 1 species
CUUUACUAUAGCCUGGAAUUGUGUUCGGGCUUCGCUUACGCAGGAUAGGUGGGAGGAUGUGAAGUUCUGCUUGUGGGCAGAAUCGAGCCAACGGUGAGAUACCACUUUAGCGAGGCUAGAAUUCUAACCCUUACCCGUCAUCCGGGAAGGAGACAGUUUCAGGGGGGUAGUUUUACUGGGGCGGUCGCCUCCUAAAAGGUAACGGAGGCGCGCAAAGGUUCCCUCAGGCUGGUUGGAAAUCAGCCAAAGAGUGCAAAGGCAUAAGGGAGCUUGACUGCAAGACCUACAAGUCGAGCAGGGUGGAAACACGGUCUUAGUGAUCCGACGGUGCCGCAUGGAAGGGCCGUCGCUCAACGGAUAAAAGUUA